rnacentral:rRNA from 1 species
UUGAACGCUGGCGGCGUGCUUAACACAUGCAAGUCGAGCGGUAACGCGGGGGCAACCCUGGCGACGAGCGGCGAACGGGUGCGUAAUGCAUGGGAAUCUGCCUGGUAAUGGGGAAUAACCCGGGGAAACUCGGGCUAAUGCCGCAUACGACCUACGGGUGAAAGCGGGGGACCGUAAGGCCUCGCGUUAUCAGAUGAGCCCAUGUCGGAUUAGCUAGUUGGUAGGGUAACGGCCUACCAAGGCGACGAUCCGUAGCUGGUCUGAGAGGACGGCCAGCCACACUGGGACUGAGACACGGCCCAGACUCCUACGGGAGGCAGCAGUGGGGAAUAUUGGACAAUGGGGGAAACCCUGAUCCAGCGACGCCGCGUGUGUGAAGAAGGCCUGCGGGUUGUAAAGCACUUUCGGUAGGAACGAAAUAUGCCGGGCCAAUACCCCGGUAGGCUGACGUUACCUAAUGAAGAAGCACCGGCUAACUCUGU